rnacentral:lncRNA from 1 species
AUCCACGUGUCAUCCAUGACCCGUUCUGGAGAUGUCUCAGGUGAAUGCAAGGGAGGUGGCAAGGGGUGAAUCAAUUUAGGAAUAAUCACCAGCCCUCUGCCAACUACCAAUAUAGCUCCAACAUUGUUUGCCAUCCCUGUAAGCAUAUUCUUUAAAGGUGGAAGUUCACCCACAAAUUAGUAUAUUGAUUUCAAAAUGAGAGAACAUUUAAAUAACAGAGUUACAUAAUUGCAUCACAACUAGAGACAACCACUCUCUUGUGCAGGAAUUAUGAUAAGGAAAUUAUUAGGAUAGUAUUACAUUUAAUUAACACCAAUGUAGAUCAGAUUGUGCAACAGGGAUGCUGUUUUACUACUCAAAGGUGAACAUAUAACAUGCAUUUGUCCAAAGAUGAUGUAGACAACCUUUUCUUGUGAAAAGAUAGAUAGGAGCUUAGGAUAGGGCUAUGUUCUUGAAGCAACCAUUAAUAUACUGUCCACUAGGAUUAUCAGAUAGUAAGAAAUCUGGAACACCAACAAUAAUGAGUUACCUCAAAUGAAAUUGAACUUUAAAUCAAUUUAAUGAAGCUACACCCAAUUGUCAUUCCAUAAAAUCAAAACACCUGUUGUUAAUCAACAAAGAAAAUACCAACAUAUGCAUCCAAAUACUGAUUCCCUUGUAGUUUCCCUUGUAGAAACAAAUACACAAAUACUGAUUCAAUUGGAAGCUACUAUGCUAGCAUGAAUAAAUCACAUACAUGCACAUAAUAAGGGUAUUAUGAUUAGUAGAACACAUAUUGUUCCAGAAACCCAAAGAAACUCAAUAAGUAGUUAGAAAAUCAAGGAGCCGCUUGCCAGGAACCCCUCCAUAAAUUAAUUUUUCUUAAUUUAACAUAUACUAAGAUAACAUGUAUACAUAGAGUUAGAACUGGAAUAGGAUGAAAUAUUCGUUCAACCUCAAAUAUUCUUCAAAAAUGAUGGCCUUUCACAUAAAUUUGAACUAAGAAGGCUAAACAAAAACACACAGAACCUCCAAACCAAAGAAUUAAAAAAAAACCCUGGUAGAAUUAAAGGAAUUAAGAGUUGGUGAACCGCAGCAUAGGUUGCAAAUACGGAGCAAACAAAUUAAUUUAGUUUUGAGAUUAAAUCAAAAAGAGAUUCAUAACAAAGGGAAAUCCAAUACAAUUACAUAGCUCACCAACAAAUUCAGAAUUCCAUCUCUACACAACACAGAAAACUAAAAAUCAAAAAAUCUUUAAAUCCUAGCUUUUUAAAUAAAACCCAAAACCAAAAUCAAUUAAAACAGAAAAUUCCCAAAUUUAGACCUAUAAAAACCCAAAAUAAAAAUCACAUAAACCCAAAACUCAAAUCAAACAACAAAUGCAAUAAUUUUCACAGAAAUCAAACUCAAGACAAUUAAAAGCAAACCCAAUUCAAGAAUUGCAACAUUCUUCAUCAUAUUGAACGAAAUCUUAGAUUUCCUUCCAGAACAAGCAAUCAAUGCGAAACAAUCUGUCCAAUUGAAAGCCUUUGAAUAUGAGAAAAAGCUUUCUUGCGGGGAUCUGAGACUGAGGAAUUGAUUUGAGAUCUGAGACUUGAAUCGGAGAGAGUUCACACUUCAAGGGGUCUGAUCAGUGGUUCUUAGUGUUACUUCUCCGUUCCUGAUCAACAAGACUCUCAUCAUCAUUUUUCGAUUCCUCGACUGUUUUGUCCGAUUUCUCCAUCGUACAGCUGCUGAUACUACCAAAAGAGAAAAGAUGACGUCCUGCUCGAAAUGGGCGUGGCUAGGGUAAAAUAUGAG